rnacentral:tRNA from 1 species
GCGAGUAUAACUCAGUUAGGUUAGAGUGCUAGGUUGUGAUUCUAGUUGUCAUGGGUUCAAAUCCCAUUAUUCGCC